GUCCGUCAUCAAAGUAGAAGUUCCGUUGGAUGAACUUUAUGGUGUCUUCACUGAAAUGCCCUCGUCCUUCAUUGGCGAUGUGCUUUAAUCCGUAAUUGGCACAACCAGGUGACGAAGCGGCACCAAACAAGUGGACUUUCAUCCGAUAGAUGGAAGUUGGCCUUCAAGAUUCCCAUUCUCCCACCAAAGGAAUCGUAGGCACUUCAGGCGUUGAAUAGCACAGAUCUUGUUAUCAGAAAUUUUAAAUCCUCUUGAGAGAUGGAACUGGCCUCUGAUGAUCUUUCAAUGAAGUCAGACUCCAGCAUCUUCAUGACAUCUGCAGUCCUUGGAGCGAUGACCAGACUUCAGACAGCCAAAGCACAACUUCUUUUCUUGAACAAACUUGACUCGUUCUAAGAUUGUCUUCUG